GGGGUUGUGGCUCAGUGGUAAAGCGCUCACCUAGCAUGUGCGAGAUGCUGGGUUCAAUCCUCAGCACCACA
rnacentral:tRNA from 1 species